UUCCCUCAUCCCGCUACUCUCUUCUCCGGGCCGCCGCCGCCUCCGCUCCCCCUCCCUCUCGGCCGCAGCCUCGUCUCCGCCUCCUCCACCGCCUCCUCCUCCCCUGCCUCUCCUCCUCCCGCGUCUCCUCGUCCCCUCCCUCUGCCUCCGUGCUCAACAGGAGGAGCCGAGGUCGCUGCCGCACCGCACGAUGGUGGGCGAGGGCGAGCUCCGUGCUUCCCGCCGCUCCCAGCCACCGGGCGCCGUCCUGCCGACGCGGCCCAUUACACGCUGCCACCAGCGUCUUCUUCGGAUGAACCCCUCGAGCCCCCACCAUGGCGGCUGCCUACAGAGGAGUGGAGCCCCCACCUAGAGGAAAGACUGGCACAGGUUCGAGGAUGUAAAUCCAUCUGAUAAAUUGUUGAUGGGGAUUAAGUAUUGUACUGACAUACCUGAGAACUUCAAGGAUCUAUCUGCUACCAGAACAACUUUUGCUGAGUGGGCUAGCUCCGUAUGGUAAUAUAUUGAUGGAAGUUAGACAAGUGGAGUUGUACUAUUUGGUCAGAGUUGAUAUUUUUCGGUGGAGUUGGGAACUGAACUGAUGGAGUUAUACUCAGUGUUAGCUACACCUGUUUUUGGUCGCAUGGAUACUUUUUAUGGUCGGUGUAAGCGCACAAGCUGGUGGUUCCUGAGUUUUUAUAAAGUAGGGAGUAAGGUUUUCAUUCUGAUGCUUUAUUGUUUUAGGAUUUAGAUAUUUUUCUAACCGGUUUACAGGGCUAAGGUGUUUAUGUUUUCCCCUUGUUACAGUUCAUGCAAUGCAACCUCCUUUCUCUAAGGUUUAUGCUUAAGGGUAUAAUUUUUAUAUUUGAUUUGGUACUCCAUAUAGGUGGAUACAAUGAUUAUAUCAGCAGCCCCGGAACAAUGGCAUUGAAACUGAUUGUCCUCUUCUUAGCCUUUGAUUUCUUUCAUUAUAAUCCGAUAAGAUCCUGUUUCUAGAUGCUUGCAAUUUUGAAGGAACCAGGUUAUGUAUGAUUGCAAAGAUCACUGAGAGGUUUGUUAUUAGAUACAUGAGGCAGGAGCUGGGUAUUUGUCUGUGGUGGCAACAAAGCUGUCGUUUAGGAGUUGGUGUACAGUGUAAAGAAAGGCAUGCUUUUUUAUUUUUAAUGGCGUCCAGAUAGUUGGAGAACCUAUAUUUUCUUCAGAUCUAUAGGUUCAAGAGAUGCAGUUUCUAUUUUCUAAUUAUACUAGCUUGAUCCAAUAAUGACAGAAGUUCCACAAGCUCUUAAUUAUUUCAGUUACUUGUGCAGUAUGGAAUUUGAUAAUUUAACAUGUGCACUGCAAUUGGCAACACUUUAAACAAAACCUUGAGUUUCUUUUCUCAGGAAUGCGAAAAUGAAUCUGUACUUUGAGGUACUCAUAUGCUGAGGACACAAGAUUCCGUCGAGUGUUCAUGUAUACAUAGUGGUAGUUGUGUUUGGUAGCUAGGAGGAAACAAUACUAGGAACGUUUACUCAGACUCAGCCGAACUAAGGCAAGCACCCAUGCUACUUCUCAUGGACUUCCAUGUGUAGAUGGCGAGAAUGGUUCGACAAUAUAGUGCUUCCAUAUGCACCCAUGCUACUUUAGUUUAGGAUCGUCGCAUAUUAUCUUUAAUAACGCUAUGCACUGAAUGGACAGACUGUACACCCUUCUUUUGUUUAUUCAGAACAGAUCAGCUAUAGAGAAGGCUAAUGUGGUUGGAGAAGGAAUUAAUACACUGGAGUGCUCCCUAAGAGGGCACAAACUUCUCCAACCACAUAAUUGUAGUUUCAAGUCUGCUUUCUCUGUUUGUCAAUUUUUUGGGGAACAUAUAAAUGAACUAUAUUUUUGGUGCAAUUGCUCUAUCACAAUCGGAUUGACCCAUCCGAUGCUUCACUGUAUCUUAGCAUGCUUAUCGAGUACAUUCCUUAUAUCAUUUUUAUAGCUAAAUUGAUUUGUGUCAGGUAUGGCUAUAAUGGCAGGUUGUCCUAACAGAAGCUUCAAUUUUCCUGUACAGUUUAUAGGGGCUAUAAUGGGUGCUGGGGAUCUGAAUAUUCAAACAGAAGAUGGAAAUAUUGGCAUGCCAAGUAAUGUCUGUUGUGUCAUUGUGGAGUACCUUUCUGGAGGUGCAUUGAAAAUAAUUCUGAUAAAGAACAGGAGAAGGAAGUUAUCUUGUAAAGUUGUGGUCCAGAUAUCUGUUGACCUUGCCAGAGGAUGAUUACAAGGACAUAAAACAGUUGGAACCAUCGUACAUCAUGUCACAAUUUAUAGAGCGGAUAAUAUAUUGUGGCCGCCUGCACCUUUGUGACAAGAAUGAGGAAUGGCCCUCCUAUGCCCUGCUCCUCUCGCAUUGGCGCAAAGUCGCCUCCUCCCCCACCUCCGUCUCCAUGUGUGCAACAACGACCCCGGGAGGAGCUCGAGCCGCAGCGAUGGUCCAUGGUGCCGUCACCGUCAUCUUUGGCAAGAGAAGCGUGGGCUGCAGAGACGGCCGGAUUCGUCCGACCCUCGCGCUGCCGUCCGUCCACCCUCGAGGAUAAUGUGUUUGUUCAGCUGAUCUGUACAGUUUCAAUGCCGGGUUGUUAAGGAGAAUGCAGAUGAUGCAUAUUCUACGAGUUGCGGACCCCCCAACAGCAAAUUCAGUCCUACGUCUUUGAUGGCUAAGCAUGGUUUCAGUUCUUAGAUGUUCGAUCCAUCAAGAACUUGUACAAGCAGAGCUGUCCUAGAGGUAUAUUUUUCUAUUCUAGAUCCAGAUGUAACUCUGUUUUUAAUUCUUGGCAAAGAAAACAUGUUUGGAUGCUCCCAGCCUGCUUUAGAAUAUACUCCCUCCGUUCCAAAAUAGAUGACCCAACUUUGUACUAAGUUUAGUACAAAGUUGGGUCAUCUAUUUUGGAACGGAGGGAGUACUUUAUGUGCUGUCGUAUAACUAUAGGCACUGUAUUUGCAGAGGCCCUGUAAGAUGUAUAGUUUAGUGGCUCUAAUUCAUUCUGAGAUAUUCAGCGUGCCCCUUGGUCACUUGUUUCUCACUAUUCUAACAACGUGCGCAGUUUUCUUGCUAAACUCAUUCCGUUAUCUAGCUCUGUUCAUGCCUACAUGUUAUUGUAGCUUCAUUUUACCAUGAGAUUUCUAAAGAUUUACUACAUUCUUACUGUGUAUCCAUCCUAAGGCUUUCCUGCUCGUUAUUCUUAAGGCAGACUGCAUUUAUACGUAAGCAAAGAGAACACAUAAUCUAUUUAUACUACCAGGUUGCUAUACUGACCACAAAUUAAAAUUUUCUUGUGCUUCUGCUCAUUUAAAUGCAUAAUUUGGUCACACACCUCUUGCUGCAGCUACAAAGUUCAUUGUACGAUGCCUACAAAUUAUUGAUCUCAUUUUUCAGAAUAAAGCUGCAGGCUGAGUUUAGAUUGUUCUUUUGCCGGAAAUGGAACAGGUAAUGAUACAGCCUAAGCAUUGCAUAGUAUAAAUUUCAUAAAAAGGUCAUGUAAUAUUUUGCUUAGGUUCAUGCAAAUAUCUGGAAUUGACAUGCAUAUGUUUCUUGUAUGUGCACACAUUGUUAGUUGUAUCUUCAGCUAGCUCUACAAUUUGUUUGGAAAUUUCAGGUAGACAACAUAUCUUUGGUGUUUCCCUGUGAGUUGUUGUUGACGACCUCGUUGUCAUAUUUGGUUCUAGAGGUCCACCUUUGCAUCUGUUACCCCCCAAAUCUCAAAGCUUAUUGUUGACCUCUUACACAUGCAUUUGUCAUUCCGUGGCGUAUUGUUCUUCAUAUUCAUGCUAUCAUUGGCAUAAAAGUAGUAUGAGUGAAAAGUAUCCAUGUUUUCUUUGAGAUUUGACUUUUUGUAUUCUCUUAUAGUCAACACAAAUAUAUUGGAAGUUACAAUUUUUGUGAUCAAAUUGAAGUUUGAGCAAGUGCCUGGAAGCGACCAGAAAUAGUUUCUGGUAAACUUUGGUCAAUGUGUCCUGACCAGCAUGCUUCAGUGGUUACUAAAACAGCCGCCUUUUGUUUCAUAUCGAUCAGACCAGGAUCUUUCCCAUUUUGGGGUACUCCGAGCAAGAUAUGUAUAGCCUUUAGUCUUCACUUGCUGCCCCUAUGGUGAAAAGUAGUGUAUGAUGUAGUCUAUGGUCUUUAGAUUUUGUUGUUGUCUCUGUAGUCAGAAGCGGUUUAUCAUCGCUUACUGUAUAUAUGUGAAGGCCUCCUCUUCUACUGUUCUUUCCAGAACACUAUGACUCAAGAAACAACCUUUUAUUUUAUGCAUGCUUUCGCUUCAAUGCUUUCAUCAAAACUUCCUCUGUCCAGUUUCUACAACCAUAAUGUCCGUGCACUGCGAAAGAUCAUCCGUAGCACCACGACGCCUGAUAACUACUAUGUGUGCCACAUGACAUAAACAUUUGCAACAAAAGGCAAAAGAAUGCACUUUAGCAUUCCCUUUUUUAUGGGUUCGCUUUUCCCACACAUGGAUGCUGACCAUGGUGAACUGGCAAUCACUACUAGAGACGGAACUACCGCUGUGACGACCCGCUUUAUUAAAGGUGUUGACAAAGGGGCCACCAUCACUAAAGGCUGGAGCGGCUUCUUCCGUCAGGCACACAUGAACGAAGGACAACCAUAUGCUUUCGCCUUCAAAUGCACUUACAAGGGACUGCAUCUAAUCGACUACUCAAUAUAAACAAGUUGCAACAACCCCUUGUUAUAUGACUUCUGUGUUUAUCAUCCCUUAAGACCAUCCUGUGCAUUUAGUUAUCGGUUAUUUGCUGCUUAGACUGCUAUGUAGUAUGCUUUUGAAAUAGCUAUGAUAAAAGAGAUAUAUGCUUAAGCCUUCAAGUGCACACCCAAAGCCCUCUGUAUGACUAUCUAUCCAGUCUAAACAGAUCACAAGAGUCCUUUCCUACA